GUACUCACUUUGCCAGCAUGUAUACUAACAUUGAAAAGAUAUAAAGAUUAACACGUUCUCUGUAUAAGGAUGACAUACAAAUUCAUGAAAUGUACCAUAUCUUU
ensembl:snRNA U6 U6 spliceosomal RNA